UACGGGGGCAGCAGUGGGGAAUAUUGCACAAUGGGCGCAAGCCUGAUGCAGCCAUGCCGCGUGUAUGAAAAAGGCCUUCGGGUUGUAAAGUACUUUCAGUCGUGAGGAAGGUGUUAAGGUUAAUAACCUUAGCAAUUGACGUUAGCGACAGAAGAAGCACCGGCUAACUCCGUGCCAGCAGCCGCGGUAAUACGGAGGGUGCGAGCGUUAAUCGGAAUUACUGGGCGUAAAGGGCACGCAGGCGGUUAAUUAAGUUGGAUGUGAAAUCCCCGGGCUUAACCUGGGAAUGGCAUUCAAGACUGGUUAGCUAGAGUCUUGUAGAGGGGGUAGAAUUCCAUGUGUAGCGGUGAAAUGCGUAGAGAUGUGGAGGAAUACCGGUGGCGAAGGCGGCCCCUGGACAAAGACUGACGCUCAUGUGCGAAAGCGUGGGGAGCAAACAGGGAUUAGAUACC
rnacentral:rRNA from 1 species